rnacentral:rRNA from 1 species
AUUGAACGCUAGCGGCAUGCCUUACACAUGCAAGUCGAACGAGUGGCGGACGGGUGAGUAAUAUCUCGGAACGUGCCCCAUAGCGGGGGAUAACUACUCGAAACGGUAGCUAAUACCGCAUACUAUUGGAUCUGCCCCUAUGGGAUUAGCUAGUUGGUGGGGUAACGGCUCACCUCGGCGACGAUCCGUAGCUGGUUUGAGAGGAUGACCAGCCACACUGGAACUGAGACACGGCCCAGACUCCUACGGGAGGCAGCAGUGGGGAAUUGUGUACAAUGGGGGCAAGCCUGAUGCAGCCAUUCCGCGUGUAUGAAGAAGGCCUUCGGGUUGUAAAGUACUUUGGGCAGUGAAGCGGUAUCCGCAGAAUAAGCACCGGCUAACUACGUGCCAGCAGCCGCGGUAAUAC